CUCGCUCAUCCCAGAACAAUUAUAUAGUUUCUCCUCUAAUGUUACAGAGUGAGGAACGGGCUGAUCCCAGAACAGUUUUAUAGUUUCUCCUCUAAUAUUACAUAUUACGGUGUGACGAACGAACUGAUCCCAGAACAAUAUUAUAGAUUCUCCUCUAAUGUUACAGACUACAGAGCGAGGAACGGGCUGAUCCCAGAACAGUUUUAUAGUUUCUCCUCUAAUGUUACAGACUACAGAGUGAGGAACGAGCUGAUCCCAGAACAGUUUUAUAGUUUCUCCUCUAAUAUUACAGAUUACGGAGUGAGGAACAGGCUGAUCCCAGAACAGUUUAAUAAUUUCUCCUCUAAUGUUACGGAGUGAGGAACGAUCUGAUCCCAGAACAGUUUUUAUAGUUUCUCCUCUAAUGUUACAGACUACAGAGUGAGGAACGAGCUGAUCCCAGAACAGUUUUAUAGUUUCUCCUCUAAUAUUACAGAUUACAGAGUGAGGAACAGGCUGAUCCCAGAACAGUUUAAUAAUUUCUCCUCUAAUAUUACAGAGUGAGGAACGGGCUGAUCCCAGAACAGUUUUAUAGUUUCUCCUCUAAUGUUACAGACUACAGAGUUAGGAACGAGCUGAUCCCAGAACAGUUUUAUAGUUUCUCCUCUAAUGUUACAGAUUACAGAGUGAGGAACGGGCUGAUCCCAG
ensembl:lncRNA